CUACCAACUGAGCUGUCCCAGAAAUCUGAAAGCAGAUCGUGAGCAGUGUGUCAGUACUCUCCCUACUUAGGAUUUCCCAGAUACUGCUGUCCUGCCUCCGAUAAAUUUCAGAGGCCCCCGUUUGCACAAAUCCCCGGAGGUGAAAGCCUCCAGGGAAAAUCAGCAACAGGGCCAAAGACUUAACCGUUUUUAAAUUAUUAUGGCACCAAAAAUUACAAGCGUAAACACUUUGUUAAGGUGUCACUAUACUGCGAUGCUUGCUGCAAAAAUGGCUACUGGGUGUGACAGGAAACAUUCCACCCUAUUAGAAAAAAAAGGCAAUUUAGGAGGGGUAGAAAACCACCAGAAUAGAUCAUUGCGGUAGCGAUGAAUGUGUGGGAACCUCUUUUCCAUUGGGAAGGAAGUAAUAUUUUUGUGUUUGUGUGUGCACACCUCUGCCUUUCAAGUCCCUCAUUCUCAGCCCUUGAUCCUUCUUCCUUCCUGCAGUGCUGUGACUUCACCUCCAGCAGGCAGUGGUUCCCACGGGGCCAAGAGAGGGAAGGUGAAGAAAAAUAAAUAUGAAGAAGCAGCGAGCCAUCUCAAGAGGGAAACUACAUGGCAGGAGGGGAAAAGGAGAGCUCCCUUUUCCAGAGGAGAGGGCCAAGAUUCCUUCCAGCCUGGCUUACGGCCACCAGGUCUGCAGCCAGGCUGAGAUCUCCUCCAACCUAAACACACACACAGUUCCUCAGGCCAGCUGACAAAGGCAGAAAAAUAUUAAGUGUGUAAUCCUGCUGACUCUCUCCAACCCUUAGGCCGUACGCUGCGGGGAGAGGUAGCAGCAGUUUAAGUUUCUCUUGGAAAACCUCCCUGGACACUCCGAACAGCUAGGACAGUGGAGCAAGGGAAAGCACUUUGUGCAUGCUUUGGGGUCCUCUUUGCGGGGUUCCUUUAACAGCUACAGAUUAUUUGGGUAGGCCUUUGCACCCUAAAUACUUUCCCAUGUAUUUUAGUUUUUCUCCCCCCCGCCCCCUUUUGCAGAUUUUAGAUUCUCGAGGUUUAAAAUGUCAGAGGUCUAAUCUAGGUUUCUUAUUGUUUGCAGCGUGUUAUUGCUGUAAGCCACGUUUGAGAACCUAGAUGAAAAGAGGGGAUGCGCGGUUUAAAAUAAACAAACAUGGUUCCCAAAAUUUUCCAUGGCUGUUAAGAGUGAUACAAAAGUCCUUUAACAUGUAUGUUGCGGAGGUGACUCUAAGAUGCGUGACCCUGAGAUGAGCUUGUUGCAGUGCCCAAGCUCCUGCCCAAACCGUUUUUUAAGCCUAAGCCACAUCCCAUAAAGCUGCAUGAAAAAUUGAUCCUCCGCCAAGCAGUGGCCGGCUACUGUGCAAAAGGACCACCAUUUUGUGCCGCUUCCCCCUUAACCUAAAGAAACAGGAGCUACAGGUUCCAUUUUCUUUGGACAGGAACAUUCUAGAAAGGCUCUCGAUGGAACAAUCCAGUUAUUUCCCCACUGCAAACGUCAGAUGGGCACCAGGGGAGAGAGACCACAGCAUGGAGACGAAAGGAUGCGGCAACCUUGCCAAAGCUAAGCCAGCCAAGGCCUGUUUCUCCUUUGCCCGCUGCCUCAUCUCCUCAAGAUACGGCACAGAAAAUGGCUGCCGAGGCAGUUGGCCCCAAGUGAAGGCUCUAGAGCAGUUCUUGAACUAGAACCACGAGGGGAAUCUCAGGGGCGAAGGAAGGCGGCGUGACACCCGGGGCAGGCGUUGCUACGUAGGGCGCAUGUGCGGUGUCGCUACAUACGACGUAUGCGCAGUGGUACAGUGUACAGUGGUACCUCGGGUUAAGAACUUAAUUCGUUCCGGAGGUCCGUUCUUAACCUGAAACUGUUCUUAACCUGAGGUACCACUUUAGCUAAUGGGGCCUCCCGCUGCCGCCACGCCAUUUCUGUUCUCAUCCUGAAGCAAAGUUCUUAACCCGAGGUACUAUAUCUGGGUUAGUGGAGUCUAACCUGAAGUGUCUGUAACCCGAG